GGAUGCGAUCAUACCAGCACUAAAGCACCGGAUCCCAUCAGAACUCCGAAGUUAAGCGUGCUUGGGCGAGAGUAGUACUGGGAUGGGUGACCUCCUCGGAAGUCCUCGUGUUGCAUUCC
rnacentral:rRNA from 2 species